GUGACUCAUGUUAGCGUUUGUUUAGGAUUUUAGCUUUCUUCACUUCAAUCUAGAAAUAUAGUGCAUCUGGAAUGGAGUGUUAUUGAAUAAAAUCAUCGAGGAAACGGGUUGCCUAUUUGUUCUGUCAAGCGGCAUGUGUAUAAGUGACGUCUAUCAUUUGCUUGGUAAGGAUGGGUAAAUCCGGCAUGCAACUGACAUGACUGAACUUCGGACAAAAUUUCACUUGGCAGCAAAUUAUAAUUAUUCAUUAAUGUUCGGCAGAACAGAGAGGUCGGGCACAAAGCAAAACAAGAUGAAGAUGUGAUCGAAAGUGUUAUAGACGAAAACAUUUCGCUGAGGGAGUAUCAAAAGGAGCUGGCUGAAGAAGGAAUGAAAGGUACAAACGUUGUUGUAAUGGCGCCUACAAACACCGGCAAGACUAGAGUGGCUUGUAAAAUAGUGCAGGAACUCUUGCGAAAAAAGAAGGACGGAAAAGUGAUAUUUUUAGUUGAAAAUGAAGCCUUAGCCUUCCAGCAAGGAAAGGUGUUUAGUAAACUUCUCCCUGCUUACAUGACUAAAGUAAUCAGCGGGAGUGUCUUACAUGUAAGAGAGAAAAAGCAGUAUUUGAAGGACUUCAUACAUAUGUAAGGCAAAUCAACUUCGUCAAAUUUUGUUUUGAACCUUGUACUACGUGUCACGUUUGGUUGUGUAAAAGUUGGUAAGGAAGAUUUCAUCAGGAGUCACCCACUGCCAAAAUAAAGGCAAAAAAAAAGACAUAAAAAGUGAUACAAUAAUGGCUUUCAUUUGAUAUGCUGAGCAGAGUGUCAAUUAUAUUAAUGCCUAUUUAAAACUUGUAAGAUCUAUUCUGUUUAUAUUCGUUGUCAAUUCAAAUUAAAUUUUAGGUGUUAACAUGAUGAGGUAAAAAGAUGAAAACAAAAUCAACAUUUUGAAUGAGGUAUUUCAAAAUUUCAAAUCGUACUGUAAAAUCACAAUUGCUUCACCUUGAGUUGUUUUCCGAUCUGGCAACUUUUAGAAAAGUGAAUUCAAUCAUUAUUAACCUCAUAUACCGCAUCGCAUUCUCGCUAAACCAACCUCUUCUUUUCCCCUCACCAUGAAUGAUAUUAAAAUUAAACAUUAGCAGUUGUGCGAUACAUGUCCAAAAUUAUGUUGAUAUUAAUAUUUUACUUCAAGUUUUUACAACAGGAUUUGGCAGAACUACAAAAAGUUUGCAUUUUAAAGCAUUAAGAGUAAGAAUAACCUUCCUCUCUUCCGGGAAAAGAUUAUAAGACCCUCUUAGGUAACAAGUCAUUUGUCUUUCUGCCUUAAAAUCCACAAAGGAAAUCAAACAACUUACCGAAUAUUCGUGAGAAUUACCUUUAAAACACAAUUGAAAAAAAAUGAAAGGAUGAGCAAAGUAUUCCUCGAUGCGCUUGUGUUUGAUAAUAUAGUUACCACUGGUAUUUAUGUUAAACAUAAUUCAUAUCUUAAUUAAUUGCAUACAAGAGAAAAUGUUCACUGUCUUUUCAGAAGAGACAUACUAGAAGUUACAGCUCAACUUUUGCUCAACGCAUUGAAAACGAAUGAAAUAGACGGUCUCGCAAUAUUUUCGUUAAUUGUUUUGAUGAAUGUCACCACACGCACGAUCUACAUCGUUACAAUGAAAUCAUGGGUCGCUAUGUGGACCGUAAAUUGCAGGGAAAUGUUGCUGUUUCUCCGCUUUUACAGAUUGUGGGCCUUGCAGCAUCGUUGGGAGUUGGAGGACAUACAGAUCCUAAAGCGGCCAUGUGUCAUAUGAAGAAACUACUAGCAAACUUGGAUGCUACAUUUUUAUGUACAGUUAGGAGAAACAAAAUGGACUUACAGAAAUACAUGAAGAGCAAAUUUUAAAGAGCAUAUUGUGCCGGCUAAAAAGAGGGUCAACGACAUGUACAGGAAAGCUGUCUUGGAAAACAUGCAUGCCAUAGAUCAAUAUAUGAUUACCCAUCCAAGUUUGGCAGAACUACCACCCAUGACCGAAUUAACUGAUAAAUGUCGUUUACCAUCCACCGCUGGUGAUGUCUCAUUUCAAAACUGGCUCAGUGAUUUUAAAAAGGCGUUAGUGAUGUUUCUUCGGAGCGUGUUCGCAGAAUGAUGUUUCCGUGUUAGGAACAUUUGCAGAUGUACAACAAAUCAUUGAUGAUUCAUGCUGAUGCUAGAAUUAAAGAUGCAAAAGCAGUUCUUGUAGAGUUUAUGAACGAGCAUCAAGAAAAACUUGAGGACAACGAAAACAGAUAAGAUGCUCCUAAGACUAUACGAAAAUUUGAAGGCCCAAACCUUCGAUGCUGAACCGGAAAGUCCAAAAUUGUUAAAACCCAAGGAAUUGAUCAACAACACACUUGGAAACAACGAUCACACAAGAGGAAUUGUGUCCGUAAAACUCGUGAGCUGGCUAAAGCACUUUUGAAUGAAACGGAUUCUCUGAAGCCAUUAAAUGCCAAAGAGUGUGUUGGUCAGGGAAUGUCAAAUGAAAAAGGAGACACAAGCAGAAGAAUGUGUUGGAAUACUUCAGAGUCGGACACCAUAAACUCAUUGUUGCUACGUCUAUUGUAGAAGAAGGUUUGGACAUUACAAAGUGUAACCUGAUCAUGUGACAAAUGAGAUCGUUCGAUUACAGUCUGGAGGAAGAGCUAGAGCUGUUAAUAGCAAAUAUUAUGUCUUAACGGAAGAAGGGUCCUAGAUAGUUGAGAAGGAAGAAAAGAAUAAAAUGCUGGAGCAACUCAUGAAUGAAAUUGAUCCACAAUUACAGACUUAUAUUGAGACAGAUCUAGUUGCUUGGAAGUUACAGUUAAUAAAAGUGCAAAAAGGUAACAAGCUUGCGGAAGAAAAACGGGAUAAAGAAAGCAAAUCGAAAAUGACUGACGAUGAGAAGGAAUUACAAUGCUUUAAGUGCAGCAAAUUUAUUUGCAUGUCGUCUGAUAUCCGUAAAAUUUAAGGCACUCAACACGUAGUAAUCGACGAAGCAGUACAAAAGCGAAUCAGUUGGACUAGAAAUCCACUUCCUAAAUUCAAAAAUGAUGCGCUGAAAAAUGAUGGCAAUUCUUUUUGUGGCAACAGCAAUUGUCAGCAAUAGCUUGGCCGCGUCUGCGAAUACCAUGGCACAGAGUUCCCACUGAUUUCUGUCAGCAAAUUUCGCGUAGUUGACAAGAAUGGACAAGGAGAUACCUUUCCAAAGUGGAAAAGCGUUAACUUUGUUGUUGAGGAGUUUAGUCUUGAGCAAUUAGAUGAAGUUGUCGAAAAGAGAAAUGAAGUUGAUAUGUACAUAGACGAAAGUACUCAAAAUAUUUUCCUCAUCUGUUCUUUAGUGCAGUUGUAUUAUAAUCUCAUUAUUUGGGUUAUUUCAUAAUGUCUUUGUAACUUUCCCGGGGGCUAUCGUAUUAACCGGGGCCGUUAUAUAGUAUCAUGUUUAAGCAUAAUUGUGAAUCACAAAAGAAAACAGUUUAUUUUAUGACUUCUGAAUGUAAUCGUCUUUCAAUGAGGAAAAUGUCGAGCAGACUACAUUUCAUGUUUAACUUAUCUUCUAUGUAAUGGACAACAUGGACAGCAUUGCUGCUAUUUUCAAAAAACAAUUGGGUACUCGUGCACAAACCAAGUAACGGCAUUGCCUGGUAACCGUUUAUAGGUUAAAGCUGCACUUGAUUCAGAAAUUAAAUACGUGUUUUCUACCUCCACCUGCCAGAACAAUGUGACUUUAGCGAAAGUCCUUCCUUAAUCUGCAUAUUUCAUGAUAGUAAAUGCUGUAAGCUGAUGUUCAACCAAUGUCUAUGUAACUUCCGUGUACCGUUAGGUUUAACAUCUUGUUACAAUCACCACAAUACACGGUUUUAACGCAGUAAAUGAUUAUAAGCUAAUCAGUUGCCGGUUCAUUAUACUACUGUUCAACAUAACCGAGACUUUGAACAGUAUCCGCAUUCACUUCUAAAUCAAGGGAAAGGGCACAUAUAGACAGUCAUAAAGUAAGUAAAUUCCCAUGCCAAAUUAAUAAGAUAGUAACAAUUAUCCCAUUUGAUUUGUGACAGGAAUUUUGGAUUUGAUUUAAAUAGUUUUCCCCAGGAAGCGCCUUUCGUUUAUUUUUAAAGGUCUAGCCUCAUUUAAUUUCAAAUUUCACUUUCAGUGACUUGUUACAGUAAUGCGUGUCGAGUCACAUUAUAGUGCACAUACCGCGACGUAACAUAGAUAAGAUAGCAAAGAAGUUUCAUUUAGAAAGAGUCUCUGAGCUAAUUGCGACAGGAUAGCUAAUUCUUAGUUUGCCAAUAUUUUCUUGACCAGACUGCAAAGUAAAAAACGUGCAUGUCACUCGAAAGCUUCGGUCUUUUUCAUUGUUUUCGAACAAAAGUCAUAUUUUAAUACCGACCUGCCGAGACGGGAAUCAUAUCUUAUCAAAUGCUUUAUUCAAGUGUUGACGAAAAAAAUGAAAAUUUAAGAUAAUGUCUGUUUUACUGACAAAAUGAAUCCUAAUACAAGACCUAACAUGCUUAUUGAAUCCACGCUUAACUUGAUUGAUUCGAGUAGUAAUGAAUUGGACAUCAUGCGAUCAUUUGACAUCAUGAACGACGUCAUAUAAGAUUCUUUCACUGGUUAUAGGUGCAGAUGGGAAUUUCCGGCCUCGAGGGUAACUGUUUAGGCGGUAACGAGGUUCCUACCGAGUUACCGCCUAAACAGUUACCCGAGAGCCGGAUAUUCCCAUCUGCACCUAUAACCAGUGACAGAAUCUUUUUCUUGCAUACCGAUAUCAAGAUAUAAUAAUA